rnacentral:ncRNA from 1 species
AAUUUUAGUGUUAAUUUUAAAUUAUUUAAAUAAUAAUUUAUAUUUACAUGUAGUAAUUAAUAUUAAAUUAUUUAAGAAAUUAAGAUUUAGUAAUGUUUUAAUUAAUAACAAAUUUUGUGCCAGCAGUUGCGGUUAUACAAAAAUUAAAUUAAAUUUUAUUGAUAAUUAAUAAAUAAUUUUUCUUUAUAUAAUAUAAAUUUUAAAUUAUUAGGUGAAAUUUUAAUUUAAUAAAAUUUUAUAUCUAUUUUAUGAUUUAAUAAAUUUUAUAAAAAACUAGGAUUAGAUACCCUAUUAUUAAAAUUUAAAGUAAAAAUAUCAAAAUAGUAAAUAAUUAUUUAUUGAAACUUAAAUAAUUUGGCGGUAUUUUAGUUCAUUUAGAGGAAUCUGUUUAAUAAUUGAUAAUCCACGAAUAAAUUUACUUAAUUUAUUAUUUUGUAUAUCGUUGUUAAAAAAAUAUUUUUUAAUAAAAUUAAUAUUUAAAAAUUAUUAUUUAAAAUUAAAUCAGAUCAAGAUGCAGAUUAUAAUUAAGAAUAUAAUGGAUUACAAUAAAUUUAUUUAAAUGAAUUUUAAUUUGUAAAAAUUAAUUGAAAGUGGAUUUAAAUGUAAUUUUAUUUAAUUUAAUAAAAUGAUUAAAAAUUAAAAUAUGUACAUAUUGCCCGUCGCUUUCAUAUAUUAAAAAAUUGAAAUAAGUCGUAACAAAGUAGAGGUACUGGAAAGUGUUUCUAGAAAGAA